rnacentral:sRNA from 1 species
GUCAGGCAUGGUGGCUCAUGCCUGUAAUCCUAGCACUUUGGGAGGCUGAGGCAGGAGGAUCACUUGAGCCCAGGAGUUUUGGGCUGCAGUGAGCUAUGAUCGUGCCACUGCACUCCAGCCUGAGCAACAGAGAAAGACUCUGUCUCUGAAAAAAUAACCGGGUGAGGUGGCUCAUGCCUGUAAUCCCAGCACUUUGGGAGGCCGAGGUGGGCAGAUCACCUGAGGUGAGGAGUUCAAGACCAGCCUGGCCAACAUGGUGAAAUCUCGUCUGU